GAUUUAUAGCCAUGUUACGGUGUUUGAUUUCAGGAUCAGACUUAAAAGGGAAGUUCGGUGAAAAUCCGAUGCGGUCCCGCCACUGUAAAUGAGGAGCAACAUCCGAUACACCACUGUUCACUUUUGCAGAGAAUGGGAAGGGAGGAUGCUUGCGAGGAUUCAUGAGCCAGGAGACCUGCCGUAAGAUGUAACACUCC
rnacentral:ncRNA from 2 species